rnacentral:rRNA from 1 species
UGGGGAAUAUUGCACAAUGGGCGCAAGCCUGAUGCAGCCAUGCCGCGUGUAUGAAGAAGGCCUUCGGGUUGUAAAGUACUUUCAGCGGGGAGGAAGGCGAUAAGGUUAAUAACCUUGUCGAUUGACGUUACCCGCAGAAGAAGCACCGGCUAACUCCGUGCCAGCAGCCGCGGGAAUACGGAGGGGGCAAGCGUUAAUCGGAAUUACUGGGCGUAAAGCGCACGCAGGCGGUCUGUCAAGUCGGAUGUGAAAUCCCCGGGCUCAACCUGGGAACUGCAUUCGAAACUGGCAGGCUAGAGUCUUGUAGAGGGGGGUAGAAUUCCAGGUGUAGCGGUGAAAUGCGUAGAGAUCUGGAGGAAUACCGGUGGCGAAGGCGGCCCCCUGGACAAAGACUGACGCUCAGGUGCGAAAGCGUGGGGAGCAAACA